GAGCUUGCUCCCUGAGAUUAGCGGCGGACGGGUGAGUAACACGUGGGCAACCUGCCUAUAAGACUGGGAUAACUUCGGGAAACCGGAGCUAAUACCGGAUACGUUCUUUUCUCGCAUGAGAGAAGAUGGAAAGACGGUUUACGCUGUCACUUAUAGAUGGGCCCGCGGCGCAUUAGCUAGUUGGUGAGGUAAUGGCUCACCAAGGCGACGAUGCGUAGCCGACCUGAGAGGGUGAUCGGCCACACUGGGACUGAGACACGGCCCAGACUCCUACGGGAGGCAGCAGUAGGGAAUCUUCCGCAAUGGACGAAAGUCUGACGGAGCAACGCCGCGUGAACGAAGAAGGCCUUCGGGUCGUAAAGUUCUGUUGUUAGGGAAGAACAAGUACCAGAGUAACUGCUGGUACCUUGACGGUACCUAACCAGAAAGCCACGGCUAACUACGUGCCAGCAGCCGCGGUAAUACGUAGGUGGCAAGCGUUGUCCGGAAUUAUUGGGCGUAAAGCGCGCGCAGGUGGUUCUUUAAGUCUGAUGUGAAAGCCCACGGCUCAACCGUGGAGGGUCAUUGGAAACUGGGGAACUUGAGUGCAGAAGAGGAAAGUGGAAUUCCAAGUGUAGCGGUGAAAUGCGUAGAGAUUUGGAGGAACACCAGUGGCG
rnacentral:rRNA from 1 species